UACGUAGGGUGCGAGCGUUAAUCGGAAUUACUGGGCGUAAAGCGUGCGCAGGCGGUUGGUUAAGUCUGAUGUGAAAGCCCCGAGCUCAACUUGGGAAUGGCAUUGGAAACUGGCUGGCUAGAGUGUGGCAGAGGGGGGUGGAAUUCCGCGUGUAGCAGUGAAAUGCGUAGAGAUGCGGAGGAACACCGAUGGCGAAGGCAGCCCCCUGGGCUGACACUGACGCUCAGGCACGAAAGCGUGGGGAGCAAACAGGG
rnacentral:rRNA from 1 species